GACGAACGCUGGCGGCGUGCCUAACACAUGCAAGUCGAGCGAGUGAAUCUCCUUCGGGAGUGAAGCUAGCGGCGGACGGGUGAGUAACACGUGGGCAACCUGCCUCAUAGAGGGGAAUAGCCUUUCGAAAGGAAGAUUAAUACCGCAUAAGAUUGUAGCUUCGCAUGAAGUAGCAAUUAAAGGAGCAAUCCGCUAUGAGAUGGGCCCGCGGCGCAUUAGCUAGUUGGUGAGGUAACGGCUCACCAAGGCGACGAUGCGUAGCCGACCUGAGAGGGUGAUCGGCAACAUUGGGACUGAGACACGGCCCUGACUCCUACGGGAGGCAGCAGUGGGGAAUAUUGCACAAUGGGGGAAACCUUGAUGCAGCAACGCCGCGUGAGUGAUGACGGCCUUCGGGUUGUAAAGCUCUGUCUUCAGGGACGAUAAUGACGGUACCUGAGGAGGAAGCCACGGCUAACUACGUGCCAGCCGCCGCCGUAA
rnacentral:rRNA from 1 species